GUGCGGCAGUCUCCCGGCCCGCCAGCAGCCGGGGGCCGGCGUAGGGGAGGCUCGAGACUUCGGGUCUCUCGGGACACGGCGCUGCCCGGAGUGGCAGCCUCGGCUCCGCGCGUUCUGCUAGAAGCCGGGAGGGUUCUGGGCAUCCCACGAACAGCCUGGAGAAACCGGGGACUCGUACAUACUGUGAAGAUGCAAUGAUGAGAGACUGGGAUGGCUGCAAGCCUCGGAGGACCCAUUGGUCCCAACUGGCCUCAUACAGAAAGCAAACCUUCAGCCUGAUUAAUACAGGAAGGGGACCGGGAAACGAAGACAGCAAAACAGGACAGAGAAGGCCUUGAGUCACAAAAGAAACUAUCUCACCAACGCUCAGGUUCCAAGAGCA
ensembl:bidirectional_promoter_lncRNA Gm20684 predicted gene 20684